rnacentral:piRNA from 1 species
UUCCUGCACAGAUGCCCGUGGCUGGCGCCG